rnacentral:sRNA from 1 species
UGUCGCUGCCCUCCUUGGGCGUUUCCUCCCUAGACUUCGGGCCGCUUGUGGUCCUCCAGGCGCAAGCGGCCCGAUCUUUCAGAGAU